CACAUGAAGACGUUCCGUCAUGUCUUACCGUUUCACUUACACCAAAUCGUAUCUACGUUUCAUCAUAUAUAUUUUACUGAUGCACUAUAAAAAAACGGUGUAGCGAUGUGAUACAACCGGUGAUAAAACGGUUUACAUGCGGAGUAAAUUAUAGUAGACUCGCGGUUUUUCUUCCGGUCUUUAGGGAUAUUUGGAAGAUAAUCGAGAGAAGGUUAAAAAAUGUGAUAAUCGAUGGUAGAAAUACGUCUGUGCGAAUGUUUUGUGUACUUUUGCAAGAACAAAGGAUCUUCAAGGAACAUAGUGUACACUGUAAUAAAAUCACCGGGAUAUCAAAACGGUCUGUUUAAUUGGAAUUCUAUUAUUCUCGAUUUGUUGGAAGGAAAUUGAAUUGAUGAAGUUCAAUUGAGAAGCGUGAGAUGGCGGUGGAAAAAUGACGAAUUCCUGAUGCCUACACUCUAUCACUUUAUUAUAGGGAAGAGAAUUUACCGGUA